AAUCUGCCCUUGGGUUCGGAAUAACAGUGAGAAAUUACUGCUAAUACCGAAUGAUGACGUAAGUCCAAAGAUUUAUCGCCCAAGGAUGAGCCCACGUAGGAUUAGCUAGUUGGUGAGGUAAAAGCUCACCAAGGCGACGAUCCUUAGCUGGUCUGAGAGGAUGAUCAGCCACACUGGGACUGAGACACGGCCCAGACUCCUACGGGAGGCAGCAGUGGGGAAUAUUGGACAAUGGGCGAAAGCCUGAUCCAGCAAUGCCGCGUGAGUGAUGAAGGCCUUAGGGUUGUAAAGCUCUUUUACCCGGGAUGAUAAUGACAGUACCGGGAGAAUAAGCUCCGGCUAACUCCGUGCCAGCAGCCGCGGUAAUACGGAGGGAGCUAGCGUUAUUCGGAAUUACUGGGCGUAAAGCGCACGUAGGCGGCUUUGUAAGUUAGAGGUGAAAGCCUGGAGCUCAACUCCAGAACUGCCUUUAAGACUGCAUCGCUUGAAUCCAGGAGAGGUGAGUGGAAUUCCGAGUGUAGAGGUGAAAUUCGUAGAUAUUCGGAAGAACACCAGUGGCGAAGGCGGCUCACUGGACUG
rnacentral:rRNA from 1 species